rnacentral:rRNA from 1 species
GACGAACGCUGGCGGCGUGCUUAACACAUGCAAGUCGAACGGAAAGGCCCUGCUUUUGUGGGGUGCUCGAGUGGCGAACGGGUGAGUAACACGUGAGUAACCUGCCCUUGACUUUGGGAUAACUUCAGGAAACUGGGGCUAAUACCGGAUAGGAGCUCCUGCUGCAUGGUGGGGGUUGGAAAGUUUCGGCGGUUGGGGAUGGACUCGCGGCUUAUCAGCUUGUUGGUGGGGUAGUGGCUUACCAAGGCUUUGACGGGUAGCCGGCCUGAGAGGGUGACCGGCCACAAUGGGGAUGAGAUUCGGGCCCGACUUCUUAGGGAGGCAAGAGGGGGGAAUAAUGGAACAAGGGGGGGAGGCUUAAGGCGGAAAGGCGGGGGCGGGGAGGACGGCCUUCGGGUGGAAACCCGCUUUCGCCUUGAAGGAGGGGUAGGGGAGGGUAAGGGUAAAGGAAGAACGGCCUAACAAGGU